AUAUAUAUAUAAAACUGAUCGAUAAUCAUAUGAUAUAAUAUAUAAGUAAUCUAUAUAUAUAUAUAUAUUAUAAGAACUGCAGGAUAGUCCAAUGGACUCCGACCCUCGUGGUCCCGAGUUCAAUUCCUCGCCUGGGCAGUU